rnacentral:lncRNA from 10 species
AGCCAGCAGUGGCAACUCGCUGGGGUCCCCUUCCACCCUUUGAAAACUUUGUUCUUUGGUUCUUUGCAAUAAAUGUUGCUGCUGCUCACUCUUCGGGUCUGCACUGGCUUUAUGAGCUGUAACACUCACUGCGAAGGUCUGCAGCUUCACUCCUGGAGCCAGUGAGACCCCGAGCCCACCGGGAGGACCGAAGAACUUCAGAUGCGCCGCGUUAAGAGCUGUAACACUCACCGCGAAGGUCUGCAGCUUCACUCCUGAGCCAGCGAGACCACGAACCCACCAGAAGGAAGAAACUCGGAACACAUCCGAAUAUCAGUAGGAACAAACUCCGGACACGCCGCUUUUAAGAACUGUAACACUCACCUCGAGGGUCCGCGGCUUCAUUCUUGAAGUCAGGGAGACCAAGAACCCCCCAAUUCCGGACACAGGGGGACUUGGCUGCUUCCUGUUUCUAUCAUAGACGCAGCUGGCCUCAGAAUAUUCCACUUAUGGAUGAAAGAAUGAUAGUGUUAUUUUAUGGAAGAAUUUAAGAAGAUGUUGCGGUAUCAUCGACUUUAUUUUUUGUUCAUUCUGAAAAUCACAUCGCCAGAUCCAACACCUUUUUAUCCCAAUCACCAGUACAAGCCACCCGUAUCAGUGUACACUGUGGCUGACCGAUCCAUAGUGAUGCUUUGAGCACAAGGAAGGACUUUCUGGAAUCUACUUAUCUGACCAAGAAAGCUUCUUUCCAAAAGAAAUGCAAUUGUCUUGAGACUUCUUCCCUAGGGAUCUGAUCAACUAACCAGAAAAGAGCAACCACCAGAGAAGAGACUGUGGGUGUCAUUGUGACUGGCUGCUACCUCCCCAUGAGUCUUCUAAAAUAAAACCUGCAAAUUCACAUCUUCCCCAUGCUUCCAGAGAAUGCAUAUUCUUCCUUUGAAAAAAGAAAACCAGGUAGUCGUACAGUGUCCAGAAGGCAAAAGGACAAGUAUGCACUGCCCUACUUACCUACUUUCCACACUGCUGCACAGGAAAAUCUGACAGAGGACAAUAACAAACAUCUCACCAGCUCAUGCGUUCUUUUUUGAUCCUAAUUCCGAGAGACUCACCAAAGACAUGAAGAGAAAACAAACAAUACUUUUCUUGGAAAUAUUGUAAUUGCUGGUACAUUUGUUGUUCUGGCAUAAAGUAGAAAUUGUCAGGUAAACAUUGCUUCCUUUUGGAUCAAAAAGAAAUUUAACCAAAUAAAUGCAAGAGGUAUGAGGGAAGAUAAUGGGAAAUAAAUGAGAUUUGAGAAAUCAGUGGAGGUUCAAGUGGUUUUUUUUUUCUUUUGUAGUUGAUAAUACUCUGUUUUAAAUCAGUGAGUUUUACUUAUAUAUGCUUGUCCUUUUUUUUUUCUAGUUACCAGAACAAUACUCAGUGAACUUAUGAAUAUAUGGUAAAUAUUAAACACAUCCCACUUGGAUGAGAAGAUAUGUGAGUCGAUGAGUAUAGCUAAGUCUAAAGUUAGAUGUGUUCCAUAAACAUAGUGUUUAUGGAGUUGGUGCAUAUUCACUUCUCAGUAAG